GACGAACGCUGGCGGCGUGCUUAACACAUGCAAGUCGAACGGAAAGGCCCUGCUUUUGUGGGGUGCUCGAGUGGCGAACGGGUGAGUAACACGUGAGUAACCUGCCCUUGACUUUGGGAUAACUUCAGGAAACUGGGGCUAAUACCGGAUAGGAGCUCCUGCUGCAUGGUGGGGGUUGGAAAGUUUCGGCGGUUGGGGAUGGACUCGCGGCUUAUCAGCUUGUUGGUGGGGUAGUGGCUUACCAAGGCUUUGACGGGUAGCCGGCCUGAGAGGGUGACCGGCCACAUUGGGACUAUGCUACGGCCCAGACUCCUACGGGAGGCAGCAGUGGGGAAUAUUGCGCAAUGGGCGGAAGCCUGAUGCAGCAACGCCGCGUGCGGGAUGACGGCCUUCGGGUUGUAAACCGCUUUCGCCUGUGACGAAGCGUGAGUGACGGUAAUGGGUAAAGAAGCACCGGCUAACUACGUG
rnacentral:rRNA from 1 species